CAGUGGCUGAGUGGAUAACGCAAUGGCAUUCGAAGCGAGAGGUACUGGGUUCGAGUCCCAGAGUGAA
rnacentral:tRNA from 1 species